GCAGGGGGUUGUGGGUAUGCGGCUAGAGGGAAGGUUCCAGACACGUCGAGAGUGGGAAACUUAAAUUCCCCUCUCUGGUGUAGGCGCAGGCUUUAGCUCCAGGAUCUUUUCUGGGGAAGGCUGGGAGGUAUGAAUUUGAAGCUGGACACGUUGCUGCUCCCCUUAAAGUUUGGAUUAUUUUACUAAAGAAGAAGAGAACAGGAUCUUGUGUCUUCUACCAGUAUCCAUGAGAUUGUGGCAGGCUAAAAUCACAGACUCUUCAGAGUUUUCAUAAUGAUAAAGUAAAUAUUGCAAAGUACACAUACAAUAAGUGUACAAUUGAUGAAUCCUACAAAGUGAACUCACUCAUGUAACCAGCACCAGAUGAAGAAAAAAACAUCAGCAGCAUCACAGAAGCCCCCCAAAUGUCCCCUUCAGUCAAUAGCCUCCCAAAGAUAACCACACUCCUAUCUAGCAGUGUGGGUUAAUUUUUCCUGUUUUUGAACUUUGCAUAUAUUAAAUCAUACAACAUGUA
ensembl:lncRNA LINC00237 long intergenic non-protein coding RNA 237